GAGGUUUGAAAUCAUUAAUAUGAAUUUGUUGUUUAGAUAAAUGUAUGAGUUGCCUGUUAGAAGUAGCUCUUUCUGGAAAUGAAGAACAGAAGCCUUUUGAUUAUAAAUUGCGGCCUGAAAUUGCUGUCUAUGUAGACUUGGCAUUGGGUUGUUCUAAAGAGCCGGCCCGUAGCCUUUGGAUCAGCAUGCAAGAUUACGCUGUUAGUAAAGAUUGGGACAGUGCAACUUUAAGUAAUGAGUCGCUCUUGGACACUGUGUCUAGAUUUGUUCUUGCAGCACUUCUGAAACACACAAAUCUGCUUAGUCAAGCAUGUGGAGAAAGCCGGCAAGUACCUUAAAACUAGUCUUAGACAAAUAUUUGCUCUCAGGAUAUGAUGUAAGAAACUAGGUAACCUUUCUAUUUUGGUUCUUUAUUUAGAUACCAACCUGGUAAAAGCUUAUCAGAAGUGUACCGUUGUGUAUACAAAGUUCGAAGUCGUUUACUUGCUUGCAAAAAUCUUGAACUUAUUCAAACCAGAUCAUCAUCACAAGACAGAUGGAUCUCAGAAAACCAAGAUUCUGCAGAUGUUGAUCCUCAGGAGCAUUCAUUUACCCGGACCAUUGAUGAAGAAGCUGAAAUGGAAGAACAGGCAGAGAGAGAUCGGGAAGAGGGCCAUCCAGAACCAGAGGAUGAGGAGGAAGAACGGGAACAUGAAGUGAUGACAGCCGGCAAAAUCUUUCAGUGUUUCCUCUCAGCCCGUGAAGUAGCUCGUAGCCGAGACCGAGAUAGAAUGAACAGUGGGGCAGGGUCUGGGGCUCGAGUUGAUGAUCCACCUCCUCAGUCUCAGCAAGAGCGAAGGGUGAGCGCAGACCUACCCGAGGGUCAGGACGUGUACACCGCUGCCUGCAACUCUGUGAUCCACCGUUGUGCCCUGUUAAUACUAGGAGUAAGUCCUGUGAUUGAUGAGCUUCAGAAGCGGAGGGAAGAAGGACAGCUGCAGCAGCCUUCUGCGAGUACCUCUGAAGGGGGUGGACUGAUGACCAGGAGUGAAAGCCUUACUGCAGAGAGCCGGCUAAUCCAUGCAAGUCCAAAUUAUAGACUGAUCAAAUCGAGGAGUGAAUCUGAUUUGUCUCAGCCUGAAUCAGAUGAGGAGGGUUACACACUCAGUGGCAGAAGAAAUGUUGAUUUGGAUUUGGCAUCAUCUCAUAGAAAGAGAGGUCCUAUGCAUAGUCAGUUGGAAUCCCUGAGUGACUCUUGGGUCCGCCUGAAACAUAGCAGAGACUGGUUAUACAACUCCUCUUACUCCUUUGAGUCUGAUUUUGAUCUCACCAAGUCUUUGGGAGUUCACACUUUGAUUGAAAAUGUUGUAAGCUUUGUGAGUGGAGACGUGGGGAAUACCCCAGGCUUUAAAGAGCCAGAGGACAGCAUGUCUACAAGUCCCCAGGCUUCCAUCAUUGCAAUGGAACAGCAACAGUUGAGGGCAGAACUUCGUUUGGAGGCACUUCACCAAAUCCUUGUUCUGUUGUCCGGAAUGGAGGAAAAAGGUAGCCUGUCGCUGGCAGGAAGCAGAUUGAGUUCAGGCUUUCAGUCCUCCACAUUGCUCACAUCUGUGAGACUGCAGUUCCUUGCAGGGUGUUUUGGUUUAGGCACUGUUGGACACACUGUUGGAGCCAAAGGAGAGAGUGGCCGCUUACAUCACUAUCAGGUAGGCAAACACCUUGCAGUAUACUUAGAGUUUAAUUGUCUUUUUGUUAUAAAUGCAUUGUAAUAAUGUGAAACUGUAGUGUUUGUGAUGAGGUUUUAAAAUGUAAAGGUUAUGGCUGGG
rnacentral:lncRNA from 1 species